rnacentral:SRP_RNA from 1 species
GCCGGGCGCGGUGGCUCACACCUGUAAUCCUAGCACUUUGGGAGGCCGAGGUGGGCGGAUCACCUGAGGUCAGGAGAUCAAGACCAGCCUGGCCAUCAUGGUGAAACCCCAUCUUGAAAAAUUAAAAAAUAAAUUAAAAAAAAAGACGGGGUUUCACCGUGUUGGCCAGGCUGGUCUUGAACUCCUGACCUCAGGUGAUCCUCCCGCCUCGG